UACGUAGGGUCCGAGCGUUGUCCGGAAUUAUUGGGCGUAAAGGGCUCGUAGGCGGUCUGUCACGUCGGGUGUGAAAACUCGGGGGCUCAACCCCCGAGCCUGCAUACGAUACGGGCAGACUUGAGUUCGGCAGGGGAGACUGGAAUUCCUGGUGUAGCGGUGAAAUGCGCAGAUAUCGGGAGGAACACCUAUUGCGAAGGCAGCUCGCUGGGACGUUACUGACGCUGAGACGCGAAAGCGUGGGGAGCAAACAGG
rnacentral:rRNA from 1 species